AUUGAACGCUGGCGGCAUGCCUAACACAUGCAAGUCGAACGGCAGCACAGCAGUAGCAAUACUGUGGGUGGCGAGUGGCGGACGGGUGAGGAAUACGUCGGAAUCUGCCCAGUCGUGGGGGAUAACUAGCCGAAAGGUUAGCUAAUACCGCAUACGACCGAGAGGUGAAAGCGGGGGACCGCAAGGCCUCGCGCGAUUGGAUGAGCCGACGUCGGAUUAGCUAGUUGGCGGGGUAAAGGCCCACCAAGGCGACGAUCCGUAGCUGGUCUGAGAGGAUGAUCAGCCACACUGGAACUGAGACACGGUCCAGACUCCUACGGGAGGCAGCAGUGGGGAAUAUUGGACAAUGGGCGCAAGCCUGAUCCAGCAAUGCCGCGUGUGU
rnacentral:rRNA from 1 species